UACGUAGGGUGCAAGCGUUAAUCGGAAUUACUGGGCGUAAAGCGUGCGCAGGCGGUUAUAUAAGACAGUUGUGAAAUCCCCGGGCUCAACCCUGGGAACUGCAUCUGUGACUGUAUAGCUAGAGUACGGUAGAGGGGAUGGAAUUCCGCGUGUAGCAGUGAAAUGCGUAGAUAUGCGGAGGAACACCGAUGGCGAAGGCAAUCUCCUGGACCUGUACUGACGCUCAUGCACGAAAGACG
rnacentral:rRNA from 1 species